rnacentral:rRNA from 1 species
CCUACGGGAGGCAGUAGUAGGGAAUCUUUCACAAUGGGCGAAAGCCUGAUGGAGCAACGCCGCGUGCAGGAUGAAGGCCUUCUGGGUGUAAACUGCUUUUAUAAGCGAGAAAUAUGAUGGUAACUUAUGAAUAAGGAUCGGCUAACUACGUGCCAGCAGCCGCGGUCAUACGUAGGAUCCGAGCAUUAUACGGAGUGUCUGGGUGUAAAGAGUUGCGUAGGUGGCAUAAUAAGUAGCUAGUGAAAUCUGGUGGCUCAACCAUUCAGACUAUUAGCUAAACUGUUAAGCUCGAGACCGUUAGGGGUAACUGGAAUUUCUAGUGUAGGAGUGAAAUCCGUAGAUAUUAGACGGAACACCAAUAGCGUAGGCAGGUUGCUGGGACGGUUCUGACACUAAGGCACGAAAGCGUAGGGAGCAAACGGGAUUAGAUACCCUUGUAGUC